rnacentral:rRNA from 1 species
UGGCCUACGGGAGGCAGCAGUAGGGAAUCUUCCACAAUGGGCGAAAGCCUGAUGGAGCAACGCCGCGUGGGUGAAGAAGGUCUUCGGAUCGUAAAACCCUGUUGUUAGAGAAGAAAGUGCGUGAGAGUAACUGUUCACGUUUCGACGGUAUCUAACCAGAAAGCCACGGCUGACUACGUGCCAGCAGCCGCGGUAAUACGUAGGGGGCAAGCGUUAUCCGGAAUUACUGGGUGUAAAGGGAGAGUAGGCGGCAAGGUAAGCGAUAUGUGAAAGCCUUAAGCUUAACUUAAGGAUUGCAUAACGAA